AUACUUACCUGGACGGGGUCAAUGGCUGAUCAAGAAGAGCCAUGGCCUAGGCUAGUGGUCCACAUUGCACUUGGUGGAUGCGCUAGCUUACCAUCUCCCAAAAUGGGAGAGUGUACGUCAUAAUUUGUGAUAGGGGGGAUACGCGUUCGCGCGGUCCCUG
rnacentral:snRNA from 1 species